rnacentral:rRNA from 1 species
GCAAGUCGAACGCGAAAUUUUUUCUUCGGAAGAAAGAGUAGAGUGGCGCACGGGUGAGUAACGCGUAAGUUAUCUACCCUUCCAUCUGGAAUAACUCACCGAAAGGUGUGCUAAUACCGGAUACGCUGGAAACAGGAAAGGUGGCCUCUUUUAAGCUACCGUGGAGGGAUGAGCUUGCGUACCAUUAGCUAGUUGGUAGGGUAACGGCCUACCAAGGCAACGAUGGUUAGCGGGUCUGAGAGGAUGAUCCGCCACACUGGAACUGGAACACGGACCAGACUCCUACGGGAGGCAGCAGUGAGGAAUAUUGCGCAAUGGGGGAAACCCUGACGCAGCGACGCCGCGUGGAUGAUGAAGGCCCUUGGGUCGUAAAAUCCUGUCAGAUGGAAAGAAAUGCUAUAAUGCUAAUAUCAUUAUAGUUUGACGGUACCAUCAAAGGAAGCACCGGCUAACUCCGUGCCAGCAGCCGCGGUAAUACGGAGGGUGCAAGCGUUGUUCGGAAUUACUGGGCGUAAAGCGCGCGUAGGUGGCUGUUUAAGUCAGAUGUGAAAGUCCACGGCUCAACCGUGGAAGUGCAUUUGAAACUGGAUAGCUUGAGUAUUGGAGGGGGUAGUG